rnacentral:rRNA from 1 species
AUACGUAGGGGGCGAGCGUUGUCCGGAAUGAUUGGGCGUAAAGGGCGCGUAGGCGGCGCGGUAAGUCUGGAGUGAAAGUCCUGCUUUCAAGGUGGGAAUUGCUUUGGAUACUGCCGCGCUUGAGUGCAGGAGAGGUUAUCGGAAUUCCCGGUGUAGCGGUGAAAUGCGCAGAUAUUAGGAAGAACACCGGUGGCGAAGGCGGCUAUCUGGACAGUAACGGACGCUGAGGCGCGAAAGCGUGGGGAGCAAACAGGAUUAGAUACCCUGGUAGUCCACGCCGUAAACGAUGGGCGCUCGUCGUCGGCGGCAGACAGUCGGCGGCCAAGCGAAAGCGAUAAGCGCCCCACCUGGGGAGUACGGUCGCAAGGCUGAAACUCAAAUGAAUUGGCGGGG